UCCGACGUAGUCUAGUUGGUUAGGAUACCUGGUUUUCACCCAGGCGACCCGGGUUCGAGUCCCGGCGUCGGAACUA
rnacentral:tRNA from 1 species